CACAGAGAUCCCCGUGACUGUCACAGCCCUGGUGUUGUGACACCAUCACAAACAGGAGGCUCCCAAGCCUGCAAGAAACUUUUGGUUUAUUCAGCUGCCUCCUCUCAGAGCUUUUACUGACAUCCAGACAAUUCCUGUGACCUCCAUCCUUCACUGCAGAUUGAGCCUUUGAACUCUCUGAGCCCUGCACUAACAGGGGUUAAUGACAUUUAUCUGCAUUCUUAUCUUCCUUGUCCACUGCCUCUUGUCACUCUGAAGUUACUUCCAGUAACUGGAGGGUUUGUGGCACCCAGGUGACAUAAAUUCUUUUUCCAAGAUGGGACAAUUACUCUUCAAACAGGAGAGCUGGCUGACAUUUUUGGGGAACAGGAGUUCUCUCAACCAGCCUCCCCUGGAGUUGCUAGAGAGUGGAAAGGCACAAGCAGCAGACGGAGGAGGAGGAGGAGGAGGAGGGCACAGCAGCCUCCAGUUUGAGCUGAGACAAAGCACACAGGAGUCCCCUGAGAGCAGUUGACCUCCUGGUCUUUGGAAGAGCAGGAUGACUCCCUGGAGCUCUCCCCAGUGGCACAGCAAAAUCCAUCUGGCUUCCACAUCCUUCUGCACAUGGCUUGCUGCUCCCUAAGAAGGAAACAGGGAGCCUGGUGCUGAUGGAGUUGAACAAAAGUCAAUGAAAUCACCAUGAAAGUCAAUAAAAUCUGUCAAUUAAGGCCAGCUGAGCUGUUUAACCCUGAGAAUCCAGGCCUGGUUUCUCCAGCAGCAGGCUGGGAAUGGGGAGCUGGCUCUUGGCUUG